UUGUGGGUUUGCUUUUUUUUGUCGUUUCUUUUUCCAAGCCUACCUACUCAUCCUUUUCUUGUCUUUCUCCAGCACAGUGUUGACCUCGACAAGGGCUGUGUUAUACUCUGUUGUUCAGACUGGCCACAACUUCCAAUGCAAGCCAGUGCUGACAAAAGCAGAAGGGCAAAUCCUGUAGCCCAGCUGGCCAAGGCUGCAGGCGGCCAGGUAGGGAUGAAUGGGGCCAGUGCCCUCCCCCCGCUCCAAGGACACGGCAAAGUCCGUUUCUGGCCUGCGGGAGCGGCCUUGAAGGAAACGCUGUAACUAUUCAUGAAUUAACUUUCUGUUAUGAUUUGGUGCUCAGCCUGGCGUGCCCCUGGCUCUGUAGGCUCGGGAGGAACUGCUGGCCUUGUCGGGGCGGAGGGGAGGAAAAGGCAAGCACCCAAACUGCAGCCUUGGAGUCGCCUUGGUGGAGCUGGAGGAUUACAGCUGGAAGAGAAUUGCUGUUUUAAAUUGCUAAUAAUGAUACAGACUAAUGAGCAACAUCAGAAAUGAUGGCACGUGUAAUCAGUGCUGCUUGAUGGCAAACAUAGAGCAGGGCUGCAGGAGCUACUGGCGUACAGGGCGAGGGGAAGUGGAGCAUCUUGUUCUGGAGAGGCGGAACCCACCCCAAGCGAGGCACUGACACAGAGCUGGCUCUGGCUCCGGGCCAGACAGACUUUGCCCUCCUCAUCGCCUAUUCCCGACUGUGUCCUGGGAAGAGCAGAGCUUUCCUCGCUGGGCUGGACCAAGACCUGGACGUGCUCUCCAGCUUACCCAGGCAGGGGAGGAACUGCACCAAAUAAUGCUCGUCCCUGGGCAUUUAGUUUAUUGCGAGCAUUAGCGGUUUGUGCUCGGCUUGUCUCCUCUGGCAACAGGAGAAGCUGGAAAUGUCAAAGGGGAGGGUUAACAAACUCCGCUGGCAUAAAUUUCAAUGAAUGUAUGUUUCUUAGGAAAACCACUAAGUUAAAAAAAAAAAUUAAAUCUUCCUGUGUGUGCUUUC